CUUUCGACAAUGUGCGACCGUUUAGCUGUAGGUUGUUGCUAAAUAUUUGGUGGUUUAUUAAUAUUCAUGAAUUUGCCGAGCAUUUAGUGUAGAAUGUUCGCGCAUCCUUUAUAAAGUUAUUCUCUUAUUUAAAUGUGCAGGUGCAGGAAGGUGUGCUGCUUGUGGCAUCGCGCAAACUGGAACCAUGUUCCGUGUCGUCGCCACCAGGUGUCCUCCUCACCAGUUCACCCAGAAUUCCUGCCGGAUGGAACGGCGGCUUCGCUCCAGGCAGCGGGCGUGGUGACGGAACCGGAGUCCACGGCGGCCCCGCAAUGUGGCACUUCAGCUGUCCGUGGAUAGCAAGACACAUGUGCUACGCAUUGUAGAGUAGUGGCAGGAUUACGUGAUACUCGUACGUGGGAGGUGCUGACAAGAUCAAGCAACAGCGCACCCAAGCAAGCCCUGUCCUGCCCCCGAGGAGCACCAAUGUUCACGCAGGACUUACAACAGUUCGCGCCGUGACUUUCUAUAGAGCGGCCAUAACCGGCCGAAUUAUUCGGAAUGCACUCAUGGACAUUUAAUAAAGGAAUGAAACGAAGCUUUUCAUGCGGUAUUCAAUUUCUGCCACGUUGAAUGAAUAGCACGUAGCUCCAACUCUGCAGUUCUAACACUGCUUGCUUAUGGUUACGCAACCUGUCGGACUACACUACAGUAUAAUUUGGGAAGAAAAAAAAAACCGACAGUAAAUAUUCAUCCCUGAUAUAUAUACCAUGGCUCAUAACCACAACUGGCAGUAAGUUCCACGUAUUUGCAAUACUUUAAUUUGAGAGUGCCAUAUCAUCGAAGUACUGUACACAUUUAUGUAUACGGACGCCAGUGUAUUCGUAUUAAGAGGGCGUCCACGUCGCUUAUGUUCCGCCGGUUCUGCUCUCGGUGCAGACGCUAGCUCUGUCACCACGCCCUUACCCGGUGCGUCGUCUCAGCUGGACGCAUUUUCAUUGAUUGCACUCGAUCCUGAAGGCCAUGCAUGACGAUGAUAAAGACGCGAUGUCCAUGUGGGUCGCUUGCGUCCAUAGUGAGCAGACUCGAUUUGCCCGCUACGUCCCUACAAAUCAGAACAGCGCGGCGUAACUACGAUGCUACGUACCAAAUAUGCACUCGGCGAAACAGUAGCAGGAAACUUCCACUGCUGGGUAGCACGUGUCCACAUAACGCCAUGGUGCAGGAUAUUUCUUUCCAUCUCACAUUAUGUGCUUACAAAAAAAAAAAAAAAAUGCGUCUUGUACGCACUACAGCUGUGCAUAUACUGGGCCCGAAACGAUGAGCAAAACGAGAGUGCUCCGGCUUAUACGUUAUCGUUUUGCCCAUCGUCUUGAUUUGACAUCUCCUCUCUUCCCGUGUUUUUAUAGGGCCCGAAGAAAUUUAACCUGUUCCUCUUUCUUCAUUGACGAACUCUUGCUUAACCGUCAUUCGUACAUGUGUAGCCGAUAAAGCACAGCGCAAACGAAAAGGCGGCUCGCACAUGCACGAGCUGUCCCGUUCCCUGCUGCGAGUGUAACGCAGAUAACGCGGCCGUGUUCCCAUCGACGAUGAGCGAACACCCGUACCGCGCCGGCGCUGACCCUCGCCGACCUCCUCACCCGCGCGAUCUGGGCGAUAGCGGCGUUCGCGUCACCAAUCUGGUCGCCUUUCGUAAAGCGAUAAUCGUGCCGCUCCGUUAGCCGAGUGGAUAGAGUGUCGAGCUCGCACUCGCAAGGGCCCACGUUCGAUUCCUGGAGUCAGGCAGCGACGAGCUGGAGAGCAGAAGGGUUUCGGCGUGGUCCGCCACUCGGACGGGGCGGGGGACAGGGGAUUCUUUGUGCUUUUCGCACAAAGUCUCCUCUCGCGUCCCCGGGGGUACCUGAGUCGGGCAGGUGCCCUUAAUUCUUU